UACGUAGGGUGCAAGCGUUGUCCGGAAUUAUUGGGCGUAAAGAGCUCGUAGGCGGUCUGUCGCGUCGGCUGUGAAAUCUCGAGGCUCAACCUCGGGUCUGCAGUCGAUACGGGCAAACUGGAGUACUGCAGGGGAGACUGGAAUUCCUGGUGUAGCGGUGAAAUGCGCAGAUAUCAGGAGGAACACCGGUGGCGAAGGCGGGUCUCUGGGCAGUAACUGACGCUGAGGAGCGAAAGCGUGGGGAGCGAACAGG
rnacentral:rRNA from 1 species